CCAGUUACUAACAGGUAACGCUGAGGACUCUGGCGGAACUGCCGGUGACAAACCGGAGGAAGGUGGGAAUGACGUCAAGUCAUCAUGGCCCCUAUGUCCAGGGCUACACACGUGCUACAAUGGGCGAUACAGAGUGACGCGAAGCCGCGAGGUGGAGCAAAUCGCAGAAAAUCGCUCUCAGUUCGGAUUGGAGUCUGAAACCCGACUCCAUGAAGGUGGAAUCGCUAGUAAUCGCGCAUCAGCAUGGCGCGGUGAAUACGUUCCCGGGCCUU
rnacentral:rRNA from 1 species